CAGAGAAGGCAAUCAGGUUGGUCAGGCAUGACGUGCCCUUGGUGAAUACAUGCUGACUGUUCCUAAUCACCUUCUUCUCCUCCAAGUGCUCAGAAAUGGAUUCCUUGAGGACCUGCCACAUGAUCUUGCCAGGGACUGAGGUGAGGCUGACUAGACUGUAGUUCUCUGGAUCCUUCUUCUUCCCCUUCUUAAAGAUGGGCACUAUAUUUGGCCUUUUCCAGUCCUUCAGGACCUCUCCCAAUCAUCAUGCAUUUUCAAACAUGGUGGCCAGAGGCUGUGCAACACAUCAGCUGACUCACUCCACACACUUGGGUGCAUCCCAUCCAGCCCCAUGGACAUGGUUCAGCUUUUCUAAAUGGUCCCUAACCUAUUCUUUUGCUACUGACUGCCUCACUUGCUCCCCAAACUAUGCUGCCAGGUGCAGUAGUCUGGGAGCUGACCUUGCCUGUGAAGACUGAGAUGAAAAAGGCACUGAGCAUGUCAGCCUUUUCCUCAUCAUCUGCCACUAGGUUGCCUCCCCUAUUUAGUAAGGGGAGAAUGUGAGCAGUUUUCCUGAUCGUCCUCUUGUUUCUGACACUUGUAGAACCCCUUUUUGUUACCUUUCAUGUCCCUUGCUAGUUGCAACUUCAGUUGUGGUUUGACCUUUCUGAUUUCAUCCCGGCAUUCCUGAACAAUACUCUUCUAUGCUUCCCUAGUCAUUUGUCCAGUUUCCACUUCUUGUAAGCUUCCUUUUUAUAUUUUAGCUCACUGAACAGUUUCCUGCCAAGCCAAGGGGGUCUUCUACCAUGCUUGCUAAUCUUCACCAUUACAAGGGGCAUGGCCAUUAUGGGCUAGUCCAAUAUGUAGUAGCACCACUCUACACAAGACCCUUAUCCUUACUAGCCACCUUCCUACCACAUAUACUACCUAUACUUCAAGAAAUACAUCUGCAUUACCGUGUUUAUCAUUCCUUGUUCUAAUUUUAUAAAUUAAAAGCAUUGUGGGUAGCAAGGACUGUGAGCUGUAAAGAAUGUGGGAGACAACAACAGAUCACUACUGGAGAUGCAACAUAAAUCAAGAAAUCAUAAUGGCAUUGAAUAAUUUCAGAAGUUAGAUCAGUUUCAAACUAAGAAAAUAUCAGGGCUUGCUCCUAUACUCAGGGGAAAUCUUGCUUCUGUAAAAAGUCUCUACCCUGGUCUGUAUCCAAUAAAAUAACCAGCUAUGCAUUUUUUGUAUGACUCAGCCAUAGCAGAGGCAUAUUUGGUCCCAAAGCAUAGAAUACAGUUGUAACAAUAUCAAAUUUUAAUUUCCCAACAUAAAAGAACUUGGCCUGCCAAAUGGAUUGGACUUGACUGCACACAAGUUACUCCUUUCCUGAGGUUAAAAUUAACUGCUGUGCCUUUGAAAAAUUCUCGCAACAUUGCUCUCCUGUGCUAUCAAUCAUUGCUCUUGUGAGACUUGGUAAGAAAGGUCACAGAUGAUAUGAAGAUAGGUAUUUUGUUCCUUUCUGCAUACAAGAAUAAAUUAUGCAUUAACAGAACUAAGUGAGAAAAAGGUGGAGUUGAGGAAAGUUCCAACUUGCCUGUGUUUCUCAAACAAAAGUGCAGAAGGCAAAUAAUUAUCUGUUUUUGCAAAUUAGUGAGUGUUGCAGAUGGAAAAAGGGCCAUGUAACUGCUGUUUCUUGAUUAGUUGUCUGCUUAUUGAUUGAGUGUUGAUGAGUAACAGCAUCUUAUGAAAACUGUAGAAGAUAUUCAGUUCAUGAUACUGGAAAUUUAUCAUUAAAAAAAGAACAGAGGAUGGUGUGGCUAAAUGUCCUGUACUGCCUGGAAUAACUCAUCUGUAGUGUUCAAGUAUUAGUGAAAUGGGGCCUUGAGAAUGAGGCUGGUGUAAAUCCAUGGUAAUUACAUUAACCAUAUUGACUUCAGUAGACAGACUCUCCAUACACACUGCUAAUCUCAAGGAGAGUUUGGGCCACAGCUUGUCAUCACAUUUUACAUUAGACUUUCAAAAUGUACAUAUACUAUGAAAUAAGCAAAGCAAAGCCAAAGCUGCUAGCUAUGCAACACUACCAAGAACUUUGAAAGUGCAGCUUCCCUCUCCUCCAAAAAACUAGCUGUAGGAGUUAUUUCAAGGGAAGGUAAUACAGUUCUUAUCUCUUUGAACAUAAGAAGGCAACAUCACACCUGCUCCAUCCAUCCAGCCCCAAUACUAAAAUGUAUAUUUUUGUUGUAUAACGAUGGAAACCUGGGUCAUCCUGUACUUUUCAGGCAGUACAUACUGUUAAAACAGAAGACUAUUCACCCUGAAACAGGUAAAAAUCAUUUACUUGGCUAUUAUCAGAAAGCACUCAUUUCCCUGCCCCCCUAUCCCCCCAAGCUUUGUUGAGCUCCUUGUCCUUGCUCACUGGAAUGUGUUUUUCAUCUUUGGUCAUCUCCAUGGAGACCAGAAAGUAGAUUUUAUAGUUCCAGUAAAUUAUGAAUUCAUACAUAGUUCUACCAAUUAAGCCUUUGUACACUGUCAUGGUCAUCAGGCUAGCAUGAACAGUUUAUAGUGUUUAACAACCUAGCCCUCAAUCUUCUAAGGCACAAAUUGGUGACCAGCGUUCUCAUAACCUAAGUUUCAGUUAAGCACUGCUUGUUAGCUGGCAUGCAGGCCAAGUCCUGUAUAGCUGAAACUGAAAUAGUAGGUCAGCGGAGAAGAAAAGAUCUUCACUGACUCCAAACACAGCUGAAUUGCUAUGUGGCCUGAGCCAUGAUUGUGCUUACACCAGAGAUGCACCAAAGGGAGAGGCAGUGUUUUUGAAAUUAGAGUCUGAUGCGGUAAAAAAACCCAAAACAAAGCAUCAAGCCCAUUCUUUUGGGGUUUAUACAAUCCAUUCAAAUAGACUAGAUGAGUCUCUUAAGGCUGCAAGAGAAUGGUAAAGCCUGGAACUGGUCUGAAUUUAUAAUGUGGUGUUAAAUCCUUUCACUGAAAAAUGGCUCUCAGUGGAAGUUGGCAGGGAAAGAGAAAAUCUCCUUUUAUUUCAAAUCAUUAAGUCAAGUAGUGGGGGAGAGAGAGGAAAGAUUCUAGACUGAAUCAUACAAAAAUGGGGCUGGAAGGGACCUCAGUAGGUCUAGCCCAGCCCUAGGCUCAAGGCAGAAUCAUCCUUGUCUAAGACAUCCUAUACAAGUGUUUGUCUAACUUAUUCUUAAAACUAUAAAAGCAACCCUGUCACAUAGCCACCAGGCCUAUUAACCCAAAACACCAAGAACACUCUAAUCUGCCACAGAGAAAGCAGGGGGUAAGGGUGCUGUCCAAUAUGUCCUGCCACUGCAAGGGCGGGAAACUUUACCAUAAAGAGAAGGAGAAGCAUAAAGGGUAAUGUAGUAGUACAGUGGAACAACUGUGCUGGAUCAGAACACCAAAUCCAUCCAGUCCUGAAUCUUUCCACUGACAACCACCAGGUAUUUCAGAGGAAGGUAUCAGAAGCACUGCAUUUGUUCCAUGAUGCAAUACUUUGCCUACUGAUUAGAACAGUAGAAAAAAAAUCUUCCUUAUCAAGCCUCAAUUUUUUAACUUUAUUUAUUAAUGAAUCCAAGUUAUGAAAUAACAGAUCCAACAUUCAAUGACACAUCCAGUCCCGCAAAAACAGAUACAUACAACAUAUACACACACAGAAUGAUACCAAUCACUUACCAACAGUGCUAGUAUAACACAAAGCAAUACCCACAGAAGUCUUGUGCUCCUUUCCCUUCCCACUCAGUCCCUGACAGCUCCCCAACACCUCCAUCAAUGUUAAACUUUUGUAUUGCUUAAUCUCUCUAUAAUAAUUCACCCACUCCUCCCCGCCAGAACUCCACACAAUGCAAAUCCCACUACCUUCCACUCAUCUCUACUCUCGAAUCUCAGAUUCAUUCCCAAGUGUUAGCUUGUAGCACUUGCACUUCAAUAUUCAUAAAAGUUUCUCAAAUUUUUUGGCUUGGAGGCAGGAAAAAGAUUUUUUUUUUUAAAGCAACUGUCAAAAAUAUUCACCAGAUUUCCAAGUGAGCAUCUUUUUGCCUUCUCCCCUGUAGUACACUCACUUGACAGGACAACACUUCCAUUACUAAAACUUCCCAAACAUUUUUAAGCCAGUCAGUGACUGUAGAGGGUCACUUCUCUUUAAGGCUUUUGUGGCUGUAAUUCUUGCAGUUACUGUAAGUAAUCAAUUCCCUAUGGCACUUAUUUAAGAGUUCUCAUGAAGAUUUGAUAGGAACAGUAAUGGGUUAUCUGGUAGUUGGCACCCUCUUAUUUCCCUUACCGUAUCUCCAACCCUCUACCAGGACAGUUUAAUUCUGGGACACAUCUACCAAAUCCUCCCAACUGACUGCAUUCCUUCUAACAUUUGCCUGUUCUGAUAUCAUACAUGCAUUUAAGUAGGCAAGAUACCAUUGAUAUAGGGUUUUAAAAUAAUCUUAUUAUCAUGCAGAUGGAUGGACGAAGACUAUUGUUGCCGAUGAUCUCCCAUUCUUCAGCACCAAUUUCUGACCCAACGUCAUUAGCCCACUUUAUCAUAAAUGGUGUUUUGUCCUUUAUAUCGAUAUUUAUUGCUUUAUAUAAUAUAGGUAACAAGCCUGUGCGCUUCCUAGCUGUGACCAAUAUUUUCUCAUAUUCUGUCAGUUUUCUACUGAGGUUUACAUUUCUUUGGGGAUGUUGAAAAGUAUCUCAAUCUCAGGUACUGGAAACAUGAGAUUUUAACGUCACCUGAGGUAUGUUGCAAUUUGUUCAAAAGAUCUAAAUAUAUUUUCUUUGAAUAAUUGCCUAAAGUGAUGAAGUUUUAAAUUUGGCGGUACAAAAAAAUGGAAAGACUCCCCUGGUCCUGGAUGAUAUCAACCUUCAAGUAGCUUUAGUUGGAAAGUAGUUGCUUUCCAACUAAAGCUAAGCAAAAGAUGAUUCUUCUGUCCCCUCCUCACCUCCCCCCCCAAUAUCUACAGCAGAUGACAGUUAAAUAUCCUGAAUAACUAGUAAGUAGAUUAAGCUACAUUUUAAAAAAUAUAUUAUUAAUAUUAAUAUUAUUAUAUUAUUGUCAGUCUAGGCCUCUCUUGGCCUGGUAUCUAGUACCAUGUAAACCAGUAUAGCCUGUUCCAUGAUCAGAUUGUUGGCGACUAAACUGGUGCCCCCAUUUGGGCUACCCUGGGUGAGGAGGUGUGUGGACACCCAGCAGGACUAAAAACAAGACCUGUCAAAAGGCAGAUGAGCUCUCUGGGAGCCAAUGACCAUGCAUACCUGAAGAGGAGAUGGGUGCUGCCAGGUCACACUGGCUAAAGAAUCACCAAUGAUGCAAAGCAACUCAACUACUCGGAGGGUUGUUACAGCAUCUAAAAGACCCCUGCAGUUGCAGGGGCCAUGGGACUAACUUGACUAGAUUCUUAUAUGUGUAUUACUUUUGUGAAAGAAACAGGCUUCACUUUAUUGUUUGGUUAUGAAGUUGUCAGAGACUUUUAUUAUACAAGCAGCUGCAGGGGAGAGCACUGAACAGACAGAGCUUUUUCUUAUUAGUGUUGCAUGCCCCCCCAACAGACAAUUGAAGCAAGCUUCUUAUGUGUUUCAAUUCAGGUCACAUGACACAAGAUAUAACAAGUCAAAGAAAAACUGGUUUGAACCAGAAAGUUGCAAGAGGGCAUAGACUGUGGUUUGACCUAUUGACCUCAUAGGCCUACUCAGCUCAACAAGGGAAAAGGGUGGGAGAAAGAGCUGAUUCCAAAAUAGAUGGGGGAAAAAGCAAUCAUUAGCAAAUAGUGCACUAACUCAAAGAAGUCAGCAGAAAUUAAGGCCUGGGGUUUUCUUCUUCCACACUUUCAUGACAUUAUAAUUAAAAACUAAGAGACCAGUGUGCUUCUUUUAUUUAAACUCAUUUGAACGGGUUUUUUGAGACCUCUGAAAUAGUGUGGAUUUGAAUUGAUGCUGUAACAGAGAAUCAGGAGUUUUCCAGCAAGUUUCAUAGUAGGGGAGAACUGAGUUUAAAAAAUAUAAAUGGAGGCUAAGGAUAAGGGUUGGAUAAACUAGAUAUAACCAGACAAAAUAUUUUUUGGAGGAUUUGAGCCUUCAAAAGGCAGCGUAACUGGCCAGUACUGUACCCUGUGCGGUGGCAGUGCACAGUGCAGGGGCAGUGGCCAGAGGUUCACUGUAAUGGAAGAGGAUGUCACUUUCUUUUUUGACCAACAGCAUGUGUUGAGCACCCAAAAAACCCACCAAUUUUCAGCAGCAAAAAAGGAGUUUGUUUCCUUCCACAGCAGCAAGCUUCUGGCUACUGCUCCUGCAUCAUUCACCAUCACUUCUGAUCUGCCCUCCAUGCUGCCAGAGCCAGAGCUGAGGCCUCUUUAGGGAAGGUGCAGAGUGCUUGGGUGGGAUGGGAUAGGGACCGGGGCAGGUGUCAUUCUAGCUCCAUUCCAGUACCCAUGUCACUCAUUCUUACACUAUUGUGAUUCAUUAUCAUUAAAGAAUCAUUAUUGUAGACUGUAUAGCAGGAACUGUUCCUCCAUCUUACUGAGCUAUUCAAAAUAUUCAGAUCAAGUAUGUUACACAAGCUAUUUCUUUUAUUUUAAGCCAAUUGUCUUUUACAUAUCUUCAAUCUUGUGUAUUAACAAACAUCUUUUGUGGGGAUUUCAGGCAGUAUAUUCAGAGGAGAGUAAAAUACUUCAGCUUCUGAGGAGACAUCCAGAAACUAAAAAAGGAUGCCAAGAGCCUAAACCAUGCUCACAGCCUGUCUUCUUCAGUUGAGGUGCUGCAGAAAGCUAUGGCAGAUACCUGCAGGUAGAAGAGUCAAAGAACCAAGAAGCAAAUAUGUUGGCAUCCUGGAUAAUGUUCUCCAGAAACAUUAAAAAAACCCCCACAAGUCUCUUUGAAGAUCAGGUGGAAGAUGUGCUUCAUAGAUUGUAAAGCUGGAAGGGACCUUCGUCUAGCCCCCUGCACCAAGCAGGAAAGAUAACUGGGGUCAGGUGAUCUCAGCAAGGUGACUGUCUAGUCUCCUCUUGAAGAUUUCCAUGGAAAAGACAGAAGCUGGUUUCCCAGUCCACUGAACAACAUUCUCUCCAGUGGAGGUAAAAGGAAAAAUGAGGAUAAGAAGAUGUGGAGAACUGGGAAUUAGCUAGAUGCGUGAAUAUCAUGCAUGCCUCUAUGUGCUUGUUUAUGAUGGAUUUCUAGAUGUGGACUUAUGUCAAAAGGCAUUAAUGGAACCAGGCCAGAAAGGGUUCCCGACCAGAGCCCUGUUACUUGGGGAAAUCCCCGCAGCUGGCGGUCAUGAUGCCCAGGAAAGGGCGGGGGGAGGUUCCCCACGCCACCGGUGAGCCAAUGGGACCCGGCUUCCGGGAAUAUAGGAAGGACGAGGCCCUGAGAAAGAUGCCUUCAGGCACUGAGAGAGCAAGAGGGAGAGAUUGCCCAAGACCCCAGGGAAAGACUACCCCAAACACGGAGUUGAGACGCAAAGAAGGGACCGUACUGCUGCCAGGUCCAUAAAGGUGUCUGAUACCUGCAACGGGACUGCAGUCACUGACGAUAAAAGUUGUGGCAGGCGAGAACCAAAGGAACAGGCGGUACCCCACAGACCCGGUAACAUAUACUUUUUCCAAAGCGGGAGAAGGUUUGAAAAAUUACAAUGAAGAAAGAUGUACCAAUCAGUGAAUGAUCCAAUUGGCUGCUCUGGCUGCUAAUGACAGCAAACAUGAGAUAAACCAAGACGUAACUAAUAUCCAGUAUGCAAAGAACCAGGCAAAAAUUAACUGAAUGGCUAAAAUGCUUGUGUCCUACAGAAAAGUAUGCAAAUAAUCAAUACACAGUGAAGUCGACUCUACUGUACAGCACCUGUUUCACUUCUUUUGAACAUUAUAUCAAACAUGAAAUCAUUAGUGCCUUUAAUAAAACAACGAAUCAAAGCA